rnacentral:rRNA from 1 species
CCUGAAACCGUGUGCCUACAACAAGUCAAAGCUCGUUAAUGAGUGAUGGCGUGCCUUUUGUAGAAUGAACCGGCGAGUUACGAUUGCAUGCGAGGUUAAGUCGAAGAGACGGAGCCGCAGCGAAAGCGAGUCUGAAUAGGGCGAAUGAGUAUGUAGUCGUAGACCCGAAACCAUGUGAUCUACCCAUGUCCAGGUUGAAGGUGCGGUAAAACGCACUGGAGGACCGAACCCACGUACGUUGAAAAGUGCGGGGAUGAGGUGUGGGUAGCGGAGAAAUUCCAAACGAACUUGGAGAUAGCUGGUUCUCUCCGAAAUAGCUUUAGGGCUAGCCUCGGAAUUGAGAAUGAUGGAGGUAGAGCACUGUUUGGACUAGGGGCCCAUCUCGGGUUACCGAAUUCAGAUAAACUCCGAAUGCCAUUCAUUUAUAUCCGGGAGUCAGACUGCGAGUGAUAAGAUCCGUA